rnacentral:rRNA from 1 species
AUACGGAGGGUGCAAGCGUUACUCGGAAUCACUGGGCGUAAAGCGCGCGCAGGCGGGCUGAUAAGUUGGAUGUGAAAGCCUACGGCUCAACCGUAGAACUGCAUCCACAACUGUCAGUCUAGAGUGUGGGAGAGGAAGAUGGAAUUAGUUGUGUAGGGGUAAAAUCCGUAGAGAUAACUAGGAAUACCAAAAGCGAAGGCAAUCUUCUGGAACACUACUGACGCUGAGGCGCGAAGGCGUGGGGAGCAAACAGGAUUAGAAACCCCAGUAGUCC